rnacentral:rRNA from 1 species
AGUGAACGCUGGCGGUAGGCCUAACACAUGCAAGUCGAACGGCAGCACAGUAAGAGCUUGCUCUUACGGGUGGCGAGUGGCGGACGGGUGAGGAAUACAUCGGAAUCUACUUUUUCGUGGGGGAUAACGUAGGGAAACUUACGCUAAUACCGCAUACGACCUACGGGUGAAAGCAGGGGAUCUUCUGACCUUGCGCGAUUGAAUGAGCCGAUGUCGGAUUAGCUAGUUGGCGGGGUAAAGGCCCACCAAGGCGACGAUCCGUAGCUGGUCUGAGAGGAUGAUCAGCCACACUGGAACUGAGACACGGUCCAGACUCCUACGGGAGGGAGCAGUGGGGAAUAUUGGACAAUGGGCGGCAGCCUGAUCCAGCCAUACCGCGUGGGUGAAGAAGGCCUUCGGGUUGUAAAGCCCUUUUGUUGGGAAAAAAAAGCAGCAGGUUAAUACCCCGCUGUUCUGACGGUACCCAAAGAAUAAGCACCGGCUAACUUCGUG